GGGUGAGCCUGCCUGGCCAGGGGAGAGGGCGCGGGGCGGGCGAGCUCUGAGUCCCCAGGGCCAGCUCUGCCCCACGAGACUCCUUGUUCUGACGAUGGGACGGGCUGUGGAGGGGAGAACAGACUGUACCUGAAGGCCAGUGAGGAGCCCCUGAUGAUGAGCGACUGCACCAGGUAGUGGCAAUAGAGACAGCAGAGGUGCCUGGACUCUGGAUGUGUUGCUUCAGUAGGACCAGCCCGGUUUCCUGAUGUGAGGCAGUGAGAGACAGCUAUCAAGGUGAACCUGGGUGUUUGAACUCAGCGGCUUGAUGGAUGGAAGUUCCAUCAACUGAGAUGUGGAAGUUGGUGGCUGGAGCAGGUUCCUGGGAGAAGAUCUGGAGUGUGAGUUUGGAGAUUUGAAGUGUGAUAUAUCCUGGUACUCCUGAAUGGAGGCACUGUGUAGGCACUUGGACCUGCAGCUCUGGAAUUCUGCAGGAUUAGGGCUGGAAAUAUCUAAAGGGGUCUGGUGACAUUUGAGAAUGUGGCUGUGUAUUUCUCCCAGGGGGAGUGUGGAGGCUCCUUAGUGUAACCCAGAGGCACCAGUACUGUGAUGUUGUGUCGGAGAACUUUCAGCUCAUUGGCUCGCUGGGCUCAGCAUGCUGGAAGCUGUUUCUCUAAAGUAGAAUAGUUAUCUGCAGAAGAAGAUGGAGACUUGCUUCCAAAUCUGAGAGAUCUGUGCUGCAAUUCUCCUGUUGCUGCUUCCUGGAGGCUCCAUGUGGUGUCCUGAUUUGCCACAGACACUUCAAGUAUCAUCGAGUCUGCUGGAUCGUGAGGCCCAGGUGGUGAAGCAGACUGUACUGCAGGUGGAACCUGCUUCAGAGCCUUCUCUCCUUCUGGUUCCCACUUAAAACCAGAAGGAUGGUUCAAAGCAGUAGAUUCAGAUGUGGUGUACGUUGCCUCCAAAAUCCAAAAAGGCCUACCAAGCGUUGUGCCUCUUUUUUGGUGGUCAGUGGUGUGAGGGGAGAUUAGAUGGGACAUCUCAACCUACUCAGGCUGUUGAACCCCCAAGAGUGUCACUGAGGCGGCAGGCCCCUGAAUUUUUGUAGGUUUUGUUUCCCACCCUCUCAUUUACAUGUCUUACUAAAGUAUCUAAAAUACUUGCUACUUCUUGCUCACCAGAUCCACUCAGCGUAAUUUAUCAAUGAAGUGGACCAAUGUGAUGUUUACGCAGUGUCAAGAUGGUCAAGAUCUCUGUGGGCUAUCUUAGGCAGAGAGCAGCAGCAUGUAGUCCUGAGGCAACAGUCUGGAGGUAUACUGUUGGUUCGGUCCAAGCAGGUAAAAGCAAAUGGUUUCUGGUGUUCCUUGUAAUUUGUGUGGAAGAAAAGGCACCAGCCAACUUCAGUAGCUGCAUGCCGAGUGCCAGGGGUUCUGUGAAUUUCUUGUAAUAAAGAUACUAAUUCUGGAACAGCAGGUACAAUUGGAGUCACCACCAGAUUAAAUUUACGAUCAUUCACAGUCAUUGUCCAGGAUGUAUCUGACUUCUGCACAGGCCCAACUAGUGGGUUCAAUGGGAAUGUGGUGGGUCCCGCCACCCUUGCUUCUUUCAAGUCUUUGAUAGUGGCAUUAAUCUCUGCAGUUCCUCCAGGGAUGCAAUCUUGCUUCCGGUUUACUGUUUUGGCAGGGAGUGGAAGCUUCAGGGGCUUCUAUUUAGCCCUCCUUAGCAUAAUGGCUCUUACCCCAUGGCUCAGCAACGUGAUAUAGGGAUUCUGCCAGUGACUAAGUGUGCCUGUUCCAAUUAUAUACUCAGCAACUGGGGAAGUGACCAGAGAGUGGGCCUGUCGACCAACUGGGCUCACUGGGAGUUGGACCUGAGCUAAUACUCAUUUAUCACCUGACCACCAUAGGCCUCCACUUUAACUCCUGGGCCACUGUGUUUUUGAGUUUCAGGAGUUAGUGUCAGUUCAGAGCUUGUGUCUAGUAAUCCUGAAGGGUCUGAGCACAACCUUUUCCCCAAUUCACAGUCACUCUAAUAAAUGGUUGCAGUUCCCUUUGGGGAGGGCUUGGAGGAAGAUUGAUGGUAUAUACUUUUGACAAUAGGGCAGGGUCCUUUCUCAAGGGGACCUGGCCUCCUCUCCAGGGUUCUGGGCUGUGAAUUGACUCAGGUCUGGAAACUGAGGCUGUGACUCUCCACCGUGGCAAACUAAGUCAGGCUUUUGGCACCAGAUGUGGAGCCUUUAUUAAUACAUAGAUCAUGCACUGCUCAGUUAGGCUGACCAUGUCUUUUUUCCCAAGGAACACUGUAAUCAACUGACCUGCCAAAGACCUCCACGGGCCAAGGCACUCUGAUUGCCUGUAC
ensembl:lncRNA